rnacentral:rRNA from 1 species
UACGUGGGGAGCAAGCGUUGUCCGGAAUUACUGGGCGUAAAGGGCAUCUAGGCGGUCCGUUAAGUCGAAUGUGAAAUGCUCGGGCUUAACCCGAGAAAGCCGUUUGAUACUGGCGGACUUGAGUACCGGAGAGGGCAACGGAACUCCUGGUGUAGCGGUGAAAUGCGUAGAUAUCAGGAGGAACACCCGUGGCGAAGGCGGUUGCCUGGACGGUAACUGACGCUGAAGUGCGAAAGCUAGGGUAGCGAAC